rnacentral:tRNA from 1 species
GCCUCUUUAGCUCAGGGUUUAAAGCACUGGUCUAGUAAACUAGGGUUCCAGAGUUCAAAUCUCUGAUGAGGCU